rnacentral:rRNA from 1 species
CCUACGGGUGGCAGCAGUAAGGAAUAUUGGUCAAUGGAGGAAACUCUGAACCAGCCAUCCCGCGUGAAGGAUGAAGGGGCUCUGCCUUGUAAACUUCUUUUGUCUGGGGCGAAAAAGCUCGAUUUAUCGAGAACUGACGGUACCAGAAGCAUAAGCACCGGCUAACUCAGUGCCAGCAGCCGCGGUAAUACGGAGGGUGCCAGCGUUAUCCGGAUUCACGGGGUCGAAGGCGUCUUUGGGAGGCUUUGGUGAAAGGCUGUGGCUUAACCAUGGAAUUGCCAUUGAUACUGCAGAGCUUGAAUGAGGUUGAGGUUGGCGGAAUGUGACAUGUAGCGGUGAAAUGCUUAGAUAUGUCAUGGAACACCGAUUGCGAAGGCAGCUGACUGGACCUAUAUUGACGCUGAGGCACGAAAGCGUGGGGAGCGAACAGGAUUAGAUACCCGUGUAGUC